UACGUAGGGGGCUAGCGUUGUCCGGAAUCAUUGGGCGUAAAGCGCGUGUAGGCGGUCCGGUAAGUCCGCUGUGAAAGUCGGGGGCUCAACCCUCGGAUGCCGGUGGAUACUGUCGGGCUUGAGUACGGAAGAGGCGAGUGGAAUUCCUGGUGUAGCGGUGAAAUGCGCAGAUAUCAGGAGGAACGCCAAUUGCGAAGGCAGCUCGCUGGGACGUUACUGACGCUGAGGUGCGAAAGCGUGGGGAGCAAACAGG
rnacentral:rRNA from 1 species